rnacentral:rRNA from 1 species
UACGUAGGGGGCAAGCGUUGUCCGGAUUUAUUGGGCGUAAAGAGCUCGUAGGCGGCUCAGUAAGUCGGGUGUGAAAACUCCAGGCUCAACCUGGAGACGCCACCUGAUACUGCUGUGGCUAGAGUCCGGUAGGGGAGCAUGGAAUUCCUGGUGUAGCGGUGAAAUGCGCAGAUAUCUGGAGGAACACCGGUGGCGAAGGCGGCGUCCUGGACCAACACUGACACUGAUGAGCGAAAGCCAGGGGAGCAAACGGG